CGACUUCAGGUAUUAGGCAAGCGAGUUUAGCCAAGCGAGUACAGGCAAGCGAGUCAAGCUAAGCGAUUUAGGUUUUAUGCAAGCGAGUUCAGGUUUUAUGCAAGCGAGUUCAGGUAUUAGGCAAGCGAGUUUAGGCAAGCAAGUUCAGGUUUUAUGCAAGCGAGUUUAGGUUUUAUGCAAGCGAGUUUAGACAAGCGAGUUUAGGCAAGCAAGUUUAGGUAAGAGAGUCAAGUUACUUUAGGCCUCACUUUAUUUGCGGUUAAAUUGCGGCAUUAGGUUUAGAAAGAAGGUUAAGAUCCAGGCUCAGGUUUGCUUCCAGCCUCGUCCCUCUAGUCGCUCCCUAUAAAGAGGGUUCCCAGCUACCGUGUUAAAAUACAACAGCUGGGAUUACAGAUAUGGAGUACAGAAAUA